rnacentral:rRNA from 1 species
GGACCCGCACAAGCGGUGGAGUAUGUGGCUUAAUUCGAUGCAACGCGAAGAACCUUACCAAGGCUUGACAUGUAUUGCUAAGCACGUGAAAGCGUGUGACCCUUCGGGGACCUUACACAGGUGCUGCAUGGCCGUCGUCAGCUCGUGUCGUGAGAUGUUUGGUUAAGUCCAGCAACGAGCGCAACCCCUGUGAAUAGUUGCCAGCACGUAAUGGUGGGGACUCUAUUCAGACUGCCCAGGUCAACUGGGAGGAAGGUGGGGAUGACGUCAGGUCAGUAUGGCCCUUACGCCUUGGGCUGCACACGUACUACAAUGCCCAGUACAAUGAGAACCGAGACCGCGAGGUGGAGGAAAUCUGCAAAACUGGGCCCAGUUCGGAUUGGAGGCUGCAACUCGCCUCCAUGAAGUUGGAAUCGCUAGUAA